rnacentral:lncRNA from 1 species
AGACGACCUCACUGGAUGUGCCCUCCUUUGUUCCCAUAACUGGCUGGCUACUGGAGAAGUGUCCCUCUUCCAACCAGGCCUAUGGUUUUUUUCAGGGCAUCAACAUCGUGUGCGGAGGGGAUGAGCAAGAAGACAAUGGAGCGUUCCCGCUGCUCGCUUGCUCUGCAGUGAGAUGCAGUGUGUUGUUCUGGGAGGACGGCAGUAAUGCAAAAACCAAUCCAGCACAUUCCAUGCAUGGGAAAGGCAUUGAAAAUACUUACAAUAGCGAAUUUUUCCUUUAAGCCUAAGCGUAAGUGACUUUUCUUUGGGCGACCGCUCCCAUUGGACGGCUUCAGGACCGCCUUCUGCAGUCAUUCAGGUGUGAAAUGUGCCUUUAAUAUGCCUUUCUUUCCCACUAUUAUGCAAAGUAGUUAUUUUCGGCUAAGAUCAAAUAUGAAAAACUACAAUGUAAAGAAAAAAACUUGAAAAGUGUACGUAUAAAAGGAGUGCAUAUGCCUUAUUUUGUAAUGUUGAGCUCUAAGCUGAGUCAUUGAUCUAGAAGUUGGGGUACAAAGUUACGUUUAUUCAGACGAUUUGGCCAAGCCGGUUGGGGAGCAAAGUGCUGUCUGGGGCACAAUAAUAACAUUGGUGGAAGAGAGAUACCUGCUUCUGUCUCUCACUAUGCCCACAAUGGGUGAUGACACCAGGGAAGCUGCCCUCCUGUUAUGCUAACAGGCAAUGUUAGCAGAACAUGAAAACACACCAGAAGCGUCAAAGGGCCCGACCCCCGGAGACACAAAUCCUCUUUGUGUCCAGCUUAUCUCCAGCUGCUGCCAUGAUAAAUAGUCCAGCUCCAGGGAGCCUGGGGAAGCGCUACCCCACGGAACGAAGCACAGAGGGAAGCGAGCUUGAGGAAAUAUU